UGGCGGACGGGUGAGUAACACGUGGGUAACCUGCCCUUCAGCGGGGGAUAACAUCCGGAAACGGGUGCUAAUACCGCAUAGUUUCUUUUUCCGCCUGGAAGAAGAAGGAAAGAUGGCCUUUGUGCUAUCACUGAGGGAUGGACCCGCGGCGUAUUAGUUAGUUGGUGGGGUAAUGGCCUACCAAGACGAUGAUACGUAGCCGACCUGAGAGGGUGAUCGGCCACAUUGGGACUGAGACACGGCCCAAACUCCUACGGGAGGCAGCAGUAGGGAAUCUUCCGCAAUGGACGAAAGUCUGACGGAGCAACGCCGCGUGAGUGAAGAAGGUUUUCGGAUCGUAAAACUCUGUUGUCGGAGAAGAACAAGUAGGAGAGUAACUGUUCCUACCUUGACGGUACCCGACCAGAAAGCCACGGCUAACUACGUGCCAGCAGCCGCGGUAAUACGUAGGUGGCAAGCGUUGUCCGGAUUUAUUGGGCGUA
rnacentral:rRNA from 1 species